CGCCUCUGUGCUCCCUUCUCCUCUUCCUCGUUCAUUUCCUCUCUUCUCCUCUUCAAGAAACAACCGUCGUCCAUGGAGCCCGUCGACCUUGUUCCGAGAGGCUACAGGGGCACACCCUUCACUGUCCACGCUGAGCGAUACUUAUUUACGGACGGCUCGCGCGUGGAUCGACAUCGGUUCUUAGACUCUGGACAAAAAGCAAGAACUAGUCAACAAAACCGUCGCCAGGCGCGAGAUGGUGGUGAGGUGAAAGAGCAGCCUUUCCUUCAACGACUACCGGCAGAAGAACUCCGGGUGGACGAUGUACGAAUAUGAGAUGUGUUCUUCCGACUUAUUUGACAUUUGUUUUGAUGGUGGU